GAGUUUGAUCUUGGCUCAGGAUGAACGCUGGCGGCAGGCCUAACACAUGCAAGUCGAGCGGCAGCGCGGGGGCAACCCUGGCGGCGAGCGGCGGACGGGUGAGGAACACAUCGGAAUCUACCUUGUCGUGGGGGAUAACGUAGGGAAACUUACGCUAAUACCGCAUACGACCUACGGGUGAAAGCGGCGGACCGCAAGGCGUCGCGCGAUUGGAUGAGCCGAUGUCCGAUUAGCUAGUUGGCGGGGUAAAGGCCCACCAAGGCGACGAUCGGUAGCUGGUCUGAGAGGACGACCAGCCACACUGGAACUGAGACACGGUCCAGACUCCUACGGGAGGCAGCAGUGGGGAAUAUUGGACAAUGGGCGCAAGCCUGAUCCAGCCAUGCCGCGUGGGUGAAG
rnacentral:rRNA from 1 species